AAAAAGGGCUUCUGCCGUGCGUGGCACGGGGGGGGCCGUGUGCCACCCCCGCGGAAUCGACAUCAAGAGAUUUCGGAAGCACAAUUUUUGUGAGGGGGGCUGCUGGUAACCGCCUGUUCUGGCACCCCG
ensembl:snRNA U11 spliceosomal RNA